UACGGAGGGUGCAAGCGUUGUUCGGAAUCAUUGGGCGUAAAGCGCGUGUAGGCGGCUUGGCAAGUCGGUUGUGAAAUCCCGGGGCUCAACCCCGGAACUGCAUUCGAAACUGCCUCGCUAGAGUCCCGGAGAGGAAGGCGGAAUUCCCGGUGUAGAGGUGAAAUUCGUAGAUAUCGGGAGGAACACCAGCGGCGAAGGCGGCCUUCUGGACGGUGACUGACGCUGAGACGCGAAAGCGUGGGGAGCAAACAGG
rnacentral:rRNA from 1 species